GACGAACGCUGGCGGCGUGCUUAACACAUGCAAGUCGAACGGAAAGGCCCUGCUUUUGUGGGGUGCUCGAGUGGCGAACGGGUGAGUAACACGUGAGUAACCUGCCCUUGACUUUGGGAUAACUUCAGGAAACUGGGGCUAAUACCGGAUAGGAGCUCCUGCUGCAUGGUGGGGGUUGGAAAGUUUCGGCGGUUGGGGAUGGACUCGCGGCUUAUCAGCUUGUUGGUGGGGUAGUGGCUUACCAAGGCUUUGACGGGUAGCCGGCCUGAGAGGGUGACCGGCCACAUUGGGACUGAGAUACGGCCCAGACUCCUACGGGAGGCAGCAGUGGGGAAUAUUGCACAAUGGGCGGAAGCCUGAUGCAGCAACGCCGCGUGCGGGAUGACGGCCUUCGGGUUGUAAACCGCUUUCGCCUGUGACGAAGCGUGAGUGACGGUAAUGGGUAAAGAAGCACCGGCUAACUACGUGCCAGCAGCCGCGGUGAUACGUAGGGUGCGAGCGUUGUCCGGAUUUAUUGGGCGUAAAGGGCUCGUAGGUGGUUGAUCGCGUCGGAAGUGUAAUCUUGGGGCUUAACCCUGAGCGUGCUUUCGAUACGGGUUGACUUGAGGAAGGUAGGGGAGAAUGGAGUUCCUGGUGGAGCGGUGGAAUGCGCAGAUAUCAGGAGGAACACCAGUGGCGAAGGCGGUUCUCUGGGCCUUUCCUGACGCUGAGGAGCGAAAGCGUGGGGAGCGAACAGGCUUAGAUACCCUGGUAGUCCACGCUGUAAACGGUGGGUACUAGGUGUGGGGUCCGUUCCACGGGUUCCGUGCCGUAGCUAACGCUUUAAGUACCCCGCCUGGGGAGUACGGCCGCAAGGCUAAAACUCAAAGGAAUUGACGGGGCCCCGCACAAGCGGCGGAGCAUGCGGAUUAAUUCGAUGCAACGCGUAGAACCUUACCUGGGUUUGACAUGGAUCGGGAGUGCUCAGAGAUGGGUGUGCCUCUUUUGGGGUCGGUUCACAGGUGGUGCAUGGCUGUCGUCAGCUCGUGUCGUGAGAUGUUGGGUUAAGUCCCGCAACGAGCGCAACCCUUGUUCACUGUUGCCAGCACGUUAUGGUGGGGACUCAGUGGAGACCGCCGGGGUCAACUCGGAGGAAGGUGGGGAUGACGUCAAGUCAUCAUGCCCCUUAUGUCCAGGGCUUCACGCAUGCUACAAUGGCUGGUACAGAGAGUGGCGAGCCUGUGAGGGUGAGCGAAUCUCGGAAAGCCGGUCUCAGUUCGGAUUGGGGUCUGCAACUCGACCUCAUGAAGUCGGAGUCGCUAGUAAUCGCAGAUCAGCAACGCUGCGGUGAAUACGUUCCCGGGGCU
rnacentral:rRNA from 1 species